UGUUGAUGAGAUAUCAAUAUUUCCAAUCAACUCAGAAGAAAAGCUGGAAGAAUUUGAUAAAAGUCUUGAAACGAAAACAGACCCAUAUAUGCGUCAAAUGAAAAACCUUAUCGAAAGUAAUCCAGGACGAAAUCUGCACAAAAUUUUCGAUAGAGAAAUAAUAAUGAAUUUCAAUGUUGAUGGUACUUUUGGGAAAAAGGGAUUACGGGACUAUGGCAACGUGCUGGCAGUAAUUUUAGAUGUGAUUUCAACAUUUAGUGAAACUCCAGAUAAAACUUUAAGAGAUGCUUUUCAACGCCAAAAGAAAAAAUAUUUUAAGCAGAAUAGCCGCAAUAAAGGACAAAACGAAGAAGAUGAUGAAGAACGAUAAUUUUUUUUUUUUUUCAAUUCAAAAUUAGAGUAUUUAUUGGGUUGCCCAAAAAGUAAUUGCGGAUUUUUUAAAAGAAAGUAAAUGCAUUUUUAAUAAAACUUAGAAUGAACUUUAAUCAAAUAUACAUUUUUUACACUUUUUUUCUAAAGCAAGCUAAAAGUAACAGCUGAUAACUGACAGAAGAAAGAAUGCUAUUACAGAGUCACAAGCCGUUGAAAAAAUUUGUCAACGCCGACUAUAUGAAAAAUCCGCAAUUACUUUUGGGGCAACCUGGCUAUGCUCUCGCAAACGUGCCAUGAAUGUGGUAAAAAUCAAGGACAAGCAGUUCAACUUUUGACUUUUUUACUGCUUUUAUUGAAUGGAUCAUGUGGAUGUGUUUGGAUAAGCCAAAACAAAACACCACAUUUAAACUGCGUCUAUUAGAGCUCAACCAGGUCAUUAUGGGUGUAUUUAUAUCUCAUAGUUGAAAAAGUUUAAUUUUUUAAAAUAUUUUUGUAAUUUAUAUUGUAACUAAUUUCCCCUUUCUCAAUAAACAACUUUGUUCUUUUAAA